GACGUAGGGGGCUAGCGUUGUUCGGAAUUACUGGGCGUAAAGCGCGCGCAGGCGGUCUACCAAGUUGGGAGUGAAAGCCCGGGGCUCAACCUCGGAAUUGCUCUCAAAACUAGUAAACUAGAGUUCGGUAGGGGAUGGUGGAAUUCCUAGUGUAGAGGUGAAAUUCUUAGAUAUUAGGAGGAACACCGGUGGCGAAGGCG
rnacentral:rRNA from 1 species